rnacentral:rRNA from 1 species
GACGAACGCUGGCGGCGUGCUUAACACAUGCAAGUCGAACGGAAAGGCCCUGCUUUUGUGGGGUGCUCGAGUGGCGAACGGGUGAGUAACACGUGAGUAACCUGCCCUUGACUUUGGGAUAACUUCAGGAAACUGGGGCUAAUACCGGAUAGGAGCUCCUGCUGCAUGGUGGGGGUUGGAAAGUUUCGGCGGUUGGGGGUGGACUCGCGGCUUAUCAGCUUGUUGGUGGGGUAGUGGCUUACCAAGGCUUUGACGGGUAGCCGGCCUGAGAGGGUGACCGGCCACAUUGGGACUGAGAUACGGCCCAGACUCCUACGGGAGGCAGCAGUGGGGAAUAUUGCACAAUGGGCAGAAGCCUGAUGCAGCAACGCCGCGUGCGGGAUGACGGCCUUCGGGUUGUAAACCGCUUUCGCCUGUGACGAAGCGUGAGUGACGGUAAUGGGUAAAGAAGCACCGGCUAACUACGUG